rnacentral:rRNA from 1 species
AGAGUUUGAUCCUGGCUCAGGACGAACGCUGGCGGCAUGCCUAACACAUGCAAGUCGAACGGGGAUAGCAAUAUCCUAGUGGCGAACGGGUGAGUAACGCGUGAGUAACCUGCCUCAUACAACGGGAUACCUGAGGGAAACUUCAGUUAAUACGGUAUAAGACCACACUGCCGCAUGGCAGAGGGGUAAAAGGAGCAAUCCGGUAUGAGAUGGACUCGCGUCGCAUUAGCUAGUUGGUGAGGUAACGGCCCACCAAGGCGACGAUGCGUAGCCGACCUGAGAGGGUGAUCGGCCACAUUGGGACUGAGAUACGGCCCAGACUCCUACGGGAGGCAGCAGUGGGGAAUAUUGGGCAAUGGAGGAAACUCUGACCCAGCAAUGCCGCGUGAAUGAAGAAGGUCUUCGGAUUGUAAAGUUCUUUAGUCAGGGAAGAAAGAAAUGACGGUACCUGAAGAAUAAGCUCCGGCUAACUACGUG